rnacentral:rRNA from 1 species
AUUGAACGCUGGCGGCAGGCCUAACACAUGCAAGUCGAACGAGUGGCGGACGGGUGAGUAAUGCCUGGGAAACUGCCUUAUGGAGGGGGAUAACUACGGGAAACUGUAGCUAAUACCGCAUACCAUCAGAUGUGCCCAGGUGGGAUUAGGUAGUUGGUGGGGUAACGGCUCACCAAGGCGACGAUCCCUAGCUGGUCUGAGAGGAUGACCAGCCACACCGGAACGGAGACACGGUCCAGACUCCUACGGGAGGCAGCAGUGGGGAAUAUUGCGCAAUGGGCGCAAGCCUGAUGCAGCCAUGCCGCGUGAAUGAAGAAGGCCUUCGGGUUGUAAAGUACUUUCGGCGGGGAGGCGUUACACGCAGAAGAAGCACCGGCUAACUCCGUGCCAGCAGCCGCGGUAAUAC